UGCUAAUUUGCUGACGAGUGGCGCACGGGUGCGUAACGCGUAUGCAAUCUGCCUUGUACUGGAGUAUAGCCCAGGGAAACUUGGAUUAAUCCUCCAUAGUCUAUUGAUAUGGCAUCGUAUUAAUAGUAAAGGUUACGGUACAAGAUGAGCAUGCGUCCUAUUAGCUAGUAGGUGUGGUAACGGCACACCUAGGCAACGAUAGGUAGGGGUCCUGAGAGGGAGAUCCCCCACACUGGUACUGAGACACGGACCAGACUCCUACGGGAGGCAGCAGUGAGGAAUAUUGGACAAUGGGCGGGAGCCUGAUCCAGCCAUGCCGCGUGCAGGAAGACUGCCCUAUGGGUUGUAAACUGCUUUUAUACGGGAAGAAUAAGUGUUACGUGUAGCACGAUGACGGUACCGUAAGAAUAAGCACCGGCUAACUCCGUGCCAGCAGCCGCGGUAAUACGGAGGGUGCAAGCGUUAUCCGGAAUCAUUGGGUUUAAAGGGUCCGUAGGUGGACUAAUAAGUCAGUGGUGAAAGUCUGCAGCUUAACUGUAGAAUUGCCAUUGAUACUGUUAGUCUUGAAUUGUUGUGAAGUAACUAGAAUAUGUAGUGUAGC
rnacentral:rRNA from 1 species